CUUUCUUUCUCGGUCGUCUGUCUUAAUAAGUUAAGCGGAUUCCGAUUCAUGUGGUCGUUCUCUGUUGCAUUGGUGUUUUCACUCCCCACUCUCCACCAUAACAAAAUGUUUCCACUAUAUCUCAGGAGUAGUCAAAGGAAGUACGGCGGGUCCGAGUAGGAAAAAAUGAACUAAGAAUUAGGGCAUAGAACAAUGGAUCAAUUCAUUCAACAAGAUCCGUUCGGAUCAGACCAGGAUGAAUGGGAUUGGUUUGACCUCUCGCUCGGAAUUAACCCGCCGCCGACAGAUGUCCCACGCCACGUUUCGUGAACAGCUAUGCCCGAGAAUGAAUGAAUUGUGAUAUAGCGCCGAAUAAGUCACAGCUCUAUUCCCGACUUGAAAUCCAUAAAGGACUUUAAGGGAGAUAAAAGAGGGGCCCUAAAAUGCCUCGGGACGACUGCACGUUACAUCAUAGGCAAGACCACCUUUCGUACAUUUCUACUGGUCCAGACAUUCGAAUAGCGAACGAAAGACCAGGAGAUUGGAUCUAGAAAGCACUUCCAGCAGGGUUGACGGCUGUGUGGCCCUCAUUCAGCUGGAAGUAGGAAAUCAAUCCCGGCACGACCGAUGACUUAGUCUCCUUCUCCGCUUCGACUCAACCACCUACCUAACCUCUUAGAAAAGAUCCGAUAGAUAGCAGCUACCUAACUUUUAAGCCCUUCACCAAUCAAGGUCUUUCAUCUAGCAAGUCCUAGUACUAUGUUCUCCAAGCUUGACUAAUAGAAUAGGCAGGCCCUUUAGAGAGCAGUAGAAUGUUGGGUUAGCUCUGCCUUUAAGUGAUAGGGGGUGAGGGGAACUGCUCAGAAAUGUCUUAGUUGGUUGAGGAGUGACCGAUCCGGUCAGUCAAAAAACAAAAAAAGAAAAUAAAGAGUGACAUCGGGACCUUAUUGCCUCUCGUUGCUUACUUUAAAUCGAGUCACUUCGUCUAUCCCCUUCCAUCAACAGAAGUCUCGGCUAUAGCUAUAAGAAAGUGUGGAUAUUUAUUAUCCCGCACUAACCUAUAUUUCCAGCAUUUAGCGCCUAAAACCACUGAAAGGGUCGAUGCAGCUCCCCUCCCUUCAUCAUAAGGGGCAGUUUUAACCGCUUUCUUGUCCACGGCCUUUUCUUUUAACCCCGGAAUCGGAUCGGGCAGGAAGUCCUUGCUCUGCGUUCCGUCAACCGUAGAUGAAAACGGAGCAACUACUAGACCAUCCCAAACAACAUUUAACAGACACCUACGCCAAAGCAAAGCAUCGGUACUCGUUGAAUCAUCUAGUUUUUACAGAUGUCAUUCGAAAUCUCAUAAUAGAAGAAAAAAGAUUCCGUUCGAUCUCUUUCUGUAAUAAGGGGAUUUAUCCUGCCAACAACAGUCUGUUCUCUUUCAUCGGUCUAUGUAUGGCAAUCGGUCAUUUCUUUCUAUCUUGCUUGGUUACCGGUCUUUCUGUCUUUAAAGAGAUCGAUUUCUGUCCUUUUUCUGGUAUCGCUCUAAUAGGUCUAAGCUGUCUUGUUCAAGCAUUGGCAAUACGUCCACAAAUACGGAUUCCCUCCUUUAUAAAGAGUUGCCCUGUAGUUUCAUUCUAGCUCAAUACCCUUUCACCGCCUUCUCUAACCCCAUUCCCUGUAAGGCUAUUUAGUUCCCCUUUGCUACUUCAUCCUGCUCUUAGACUAGGCUUUGUCAAUUCGCCUUACUUAAGGGGUGAAAUCACCCGAUGCCUUCAUUGAAGUACUUCCUUAGCUUAGGAGAGGAUGUCCUAUUGCCAAUUGGAGGAAGCAAGAAAAAGGUAUUCAGCAAGAAGUGUACUACGAAAGAGGAGUUCUUUGACUUGACUCGCGGUUGAUCUUUAGAAGAUUAGGUACAAGUCUGAGGCCAGAAAAGAGAAAUCAAUGCAAUUGAAGCAAGUAAUGGAAGCCCUUACAGAACAACUACUGCGAGAGCCUUUACUUCCUAUAUAGAUAGAGACUUUCACUAUCGGCAUUGGGUUAGGUUGCAUCGGUUGUUAGCCCCGCAUGGGAAUCAAGAAGGAGGUGUAAUGGGUUACCCCCGGAACUAGAAGGUUAGAUAAACCAGUCUGAUGGUUGCCUCUCCCAUCUUCGAUAUACAAUAUGUCGAAGCUAUUGACUCUGAAAUGUGAGUCUUCAAUUAGCUGCUUUCAUAAAAAGUAUCGGAAUGAACAAAAAAAGCUUCAUCGAAAAGAGAAUGAGCUAAAGCAAAAGCCGCGGCAAUAAUCAAAGUAGUUCCAUAUUUCUCGAGUACUAAAUAAAAAAGAGGUGUACUUCUUCUCAAGCAGUAUCACCGGCAACUAAAACAGUCUUCUAUCCGUAAUUAGUCCCGGUGCCGAUGCUUUCUUUGUGGGUUUAGCAAAAGCCCUCCUCAAGUAUCAAGUAGGACAUCAUCUACUACUUGAAUCACAUUCCUCACGGAACACUUUAUCUAUUUGAAUCUCCAACUUAAUAAGAUCGAGUUCGAAUCGAAAGCGGUAGGUACCCCCGGGGCAUGGAUUCCCAUAGGGCCAACCAUGGGACUGAGUCAAGGCCUACUAGCUACCUCUCGCCUUCUCCCACUUCUCUUAUAAGGUGAGCUUAUUCAUGAGGCUGAUUCGUAGUUCUCCUUACAUUACAAGAAAAAGACUAAUAGAAAGCGUGGAAAGCGGGAAGAAUAGUCCUAGUUUGGAGGAUUAGGCCCUGCUUCCAAGGCUGAUAGGAUUUCACUCAACUCAUCAGUCUUAGGCCUUAGCGGGAUUGCAACACUAGACUAAGAGAUUGGAAGACUUUUUUCCAUCAUUUCCUACUUUCUUUACGGACUAGGGCGAAUCGCAAGCAGACAUAAUGGAAAUGGAAGGCUUGGACUGGACAGCAGCGAGUCGGGCGUACUCGACUACUUGAACAGGGACACGCAGAAGCCAAUUCUCCGACACACGAACAAUCUAUUGAAAAAAAAAGGGACGAAAGAGAAGAAAAAAGGUAGUUUACUUGCUUAGUGCUUGUGCGCUAAGGGAAGAAAGAUCGAAAAGUCGAAACUUUCGAAAGCGCACUCACUCUUCUCAAAAUCUCUUAUCUUAAGAGAAGAAAGAUCUACGCUACGAAAAGGAGCGAGCGGAGAGAGCAUAAAGAGCUUACUUAUAAGGUACGAGCUUAGAGCCUUGCGUCACUCUGGUAUGCUAAUCACUUCGUUGUACGACUCUGGAACGGUAGUCGCUUAGUGCGACAGCACUAUGGGAUGCAAAGAAGCUUCGUCACCCUUCUUUAGUUGCUUCUACUUUUUCAUCGAGAUUGGGUUGGUGUUCAGUGUACCGCUUGUGUAGCCUAUGC
rnacentral:lncRNA from 1 species